rnacentral:rRNA from 1 species
AUUGAACGCUAGCGGGAUGCCUUACACAUGCAAGUCGAACGGAGUGGCGAACGGGUGAGUAAUGUAUCGGAACGUGCCCAGUAGCGGGGGAUAACUACGCGAAAGCGUAGCUCAUACCGCAUACUAUUGGAGCAGCCGAUAUCGGAUUAGCUAGUUGGUGGGGUAACGGUACACCAAGGCGCCGACCCGUAGCUGGUUUGAGAGGACGCCCAGCCACACUGGGACUGAGACACGGCCCAGACUCCUCCGGAAGGCGGCAGUUGGGAAUUUUGGACAAUGGGGGAAACCCUGCUCCAGCCAUCCCGCGUGGGCGAGGAAGGCCUUCGGGUGGUAAAGCACAUUUGGCAGGAAAGCGGUACCUGCAGAAUAAGCACCGGCUAACUACGUGCCAGCAGCCGCGGUAAUAC